rnacentral:lncRNA from 1 species
GCAGAAGUGCCGAGUCCCGGCCGGGGGCAGCCUCGCCGCCGCUCAGCUCGGGAAUCCCUGCCCCCCACCAGCACCUCAGUGGGGGAUACUGCAAGUUCAAGGUGGUUUAAGGCGUGAAUGAAUGAAGGAGCAAGCAGUAAGCCCCGACAGCAAGGCCACCACAGCCCUCGCCCCACAGGGACGCCUGAGCAAGGACCCAAGCAGGGGACAAGCAGGCUCACCCCGCCCUUGCGGGGCUGACCACGAGGCCCCGUCCGGUGGAACACGCCAUGACGCUUCAGGAGGCUCAUGUAGCUGGCGCCGUAUGGGACAGCGGGGGAGAGAGAAAAUGCACAGCCCAGGGAAUGUGGAGACAGGCCCAGCGCCAGGCAUGGGGGCCGGAAGGAGCAGCCGGGGAGCAGGGGGCAGGGCCUGGAGUCCCGCCUUGCAGGGCACCUCGCGCACGAGGGGAGUUCACCACACAAGCUGAGCGGAGGGCGGACGCAGGAGAGCAGCGGUUUCUCGGAAGCCAAGGGCGGUCAUGGAGCCCCACGCCACAGCGCUUCCCACGGGGCCACACCAUCCGGUCUGCGGAGGGGGCUGCAUUGCCGGGAAGGACCAUCUGAUUCUGGAUUCCAGCCUCACCCUGGGCCACCGCUGAGUGUCCCAAGUGGCCCCUUAGCCCCCAGGGCCAGGCGGCAUCCCAAUCCCCUAGGGAUGUCUGUGCUCAGAAUGUGGCACACACGCCCCGGCAGGGCCAUCCUCCUCCUCCUGCACCCGCCACAGCCGUGGAUUCGGGGUCUCUAUCGUGGGCAGAAAUUCACACAGUCAAGGUGAGGGUCCCAGGAGCAGCUGUGACCAGGCCCCGGCUGCCAGGGAGAGGGGGUCUUCAGCCGACGGGGCAGACACCCUGAGAUGGACCCUUGUCCAGGGGAGGGCCCUGCCACCCACAAUUCCUUGGCAUUCCUGCACCAGCAGGACGGGCUGAGGGAGGCGCCUCACCAGUGCCAGCGCCCAGCAUCACUGUGCCCCGGUGGAGGGGGAGGCCCUUCCGAGCCUGGGCCUGGGUGUGGAUGAGGGCAGGUCUCUCACCUCUCUGACCUCAGCUUCCUCAACUGGGAAGGGGGGCCACAGCACCCCCUUAGGGGUGAUGAGGAAGUGGGAGCUCAGGGAGGACCCCGGGCAGGGCUGCCUCCUCACCUCUCUUCGGCCUUUGGACACUGGAGCUCAGAGGACCAAGUGAAUGAAUGAAUGACUCGAUCAAUCAACUGAUCCAUGAAUCCAUGGACCCCUGAACAGCUGGACAGCUGGGCUGUGGGCAGGACAGGGGACUCUGGCUGAAGCCGCGUUCAUAUGUGUUCAGCUUUGUGAGUGGGGCGAGGUUGAGGGCUUAUUCAGUGGGGGAGGUGCACGGCAGGGCCAGUACCCUUGGAGGGUCAGGCCACAGGGGCGGGGACACCUGCCAGGAUGCCCAACCCCAGAGGCAGUGGGAGCUGUUGGGGAGCCGUGGUCCCAGUCAGCGGUGGCUUGAUGAGGGCUGCUCCCACUUCAUCCGCAGGAUUCCAGCCGCAGCUACCCCACACCCGAGCUGUCCCUAGUCGCCCACCGCGGCCGGACAAAGCCCCAGCAGCCAAGGUGCUCCGUGGGGAGGGUUUCUUGGGUUUCUUGAAGCCAGUAUUUCCCAUAGUAUCUUACGUCCCAGCAGAGGCCUCCACUGUGCCCGGACCAGCGGCCCACUCAGUGAGUCGAGUGUGCACCUGGCACCCCUCUUUCUGGAAAUCCACGAACAAUGGGCUCCCAGCAGAGGACUGAGGCUGAGCAGGCCACUUCCCUGGAGCUGACCCCACAGCUGUGUAGGUACAGGGUGGCCGUGAACACUUAGGGCUCUCUCGGGCUGUGCGCUUCUUGUUCACUGCAAGGAGCAGGGUGUUGGCUCCUGACCAAGCCCUGUCACUGCUGCCCAGCCACACGUGGGGCCCCUUCACCCACCCCUGACCACCUCAUGCAGGUGAAGCCACUGUGGAAACAGCCUGGCAGUCCCUUGAAAAAUGAAGUCAUAAACCCCAGCAAUUGCACUCCUGGGCCUCUGACAGAGCUUGCACGUCCCCUCCAAAGCUCGUGUUAAGCUGUGAGCCCCAGUGCCGGAGGUGGGGCCUGGUGUGUUUGGGUUCUGGGGGUGGAUCCCUCAUGGCUGGGUGCCAUGAACCCACUCACCACAGUGAGUUCUCACGAGAUCUGGUUGUUGAGAAGUGUGUCAUACCUCCCCCACAACUCUCUGUCUUUUGUUCCGGCUCUGGCAAUGUAACAAGCCUGCUCCUCCUUCGCCUUCUGCCAUGACUGUAAGCUUUCUGAGGGCUGACCAGAAGCCCAGCAGAUGCCAGCACCAUGCUUCCUAUACAGCCUGCAGAACCGUGAGCCAGCUAAACCUCUCCUCAUAAAUCACCGAGCCCCAGGUUUAUCUUUACAGCAAUGCAAGACCUGACUAAUACAGCACCAGCUCCCCAAAAUAAAAAGAAAUAUUCAAACAAAUAAGCGCACAGAAGUGUUCCCAGCAGCACUAUUCACAGCAGCCAAAAGGCGGAGGAGCCACAGGCUUGUCAGCUGAUGACAGAUAAAGAAAGCAUGGCCUGUCAUCCCAGCACUUUGGGAGGCCGAGGUGGGUGGAUCACCUGAGGUUGGGAGUUCAAGACCAGCCUGGCCAACAUGGUGAAACCCAGUCUCUACUAAAAAUAUAAAAAUUAGCUGGGUGUGAUGAUGAGCGCCUGUAGUCCCAGCUACUUGGAAGGCUGAGGAACAAGAAUCGCUUGAACCCGGGAGGCAGAGGUCGCAGUGAACCGAGAUC